rnacentral:rRNA from 1 species
AUGGAGGAGGCUGUUAUGGAACUCACCGAGUCAUCCGCUGAUGGUGAAUUAUUGGAUCUGACUACAGUGAGAUGCUGGCCUCCUCAUUGUUCUUGCUGGUCUCCUCAUUGUUCUUCCUGUCAAACUACUAUUAAAUUGCUUGCGGUCAUCGUGCUCCUCGCCGGACUGGUUGCGCUGGUAGUUGUUGUUGCUACCGUCGCUCGCGUCGGUGUACUGGUCACGCUGGUAGUUAUUGUUGUUGCUACUGCCGUCGUGCGGCUCGCCGGACCGCGACUGGUGGUGGUUCUGCACUGCGUUUGA